GUAGGUGGCAAGCGUUGUCCGGAAUUAUUGGGCGUAAAGCGCGCGCAGGCGGUUCUUUAAGUCUGAUGUGAAAGCCCACGGCUCAACCGUGGAGGGUCAUUGGAAACUGGAGAACUUGAGUACAGAAGAGGAAAGCGGAAUUCCACGUGUAGCGGUGAAAUGCGUAGAGAUGUGGAGGAACACCAGUGGCGAAGGCGGCUUUCUGGUCUGUAACUGACGCUGAGGCGCGAAAGCGUGGGGAGCAAACAGGGAUUAGAUACCCUGGUAGUCCACGCCGUAAACCGAUGAGUGCUAAGUGUUAGGGGGGUUUUCCGCCCCCUUAGUGCUGCAGCUAACGCAUUAAGCACUCCGCCUGGGGAGUACGGCCGCAAGGCUG
rnacentral:rRNA from 1 species